rnacentral:misc_RNA from 1 species
UUUCCGUAGGUGAACCUGCGGAAGGAUCAUUAAGGCGUUGCGGAUGUGGAACCCGGCUGACUCGGAUUGAAAUAUAUAUGAGGAGGUGUUCGGUGUUCCCCCGCAGUUGCCCAUUCUUGUCUACUGACCCAGUUGCCUCGGUGGGCCGAGCCGUUCGCGGCCGGCCGGUGGGAGUUUCGGUUCGCCCUGCGUGGGUCGCCGCUUCCUCGGGCCUGUGCCCGCCGAUGGACAUUUAAAAUCUAAUAUUUUGGCCGUCUGAGCAUAAAGCAAAAUCUUUUAAAACUUUCAACAACGGAUCUCUUGGUUCCG